rnacentral:rRNA from 1 species
AACGAACGCUGGCGGCAUGCCUAACACAUGCAAGUCGAACGAGACCUUCGGGUCUAGUGGCGCACGGGUGCGUAACGCGUGGGAACCUGCCCUUAGGUUCGGAAUAACUCCCCGAAAGGGGUGCUAAUACCGGAUAAUGUCUUCGGACCAAAGAUUUAUCGCCGUUGGAUGGGCCCGCGUUGGAUUAGCUAGUUGGUAGGGUAAAAGCCUACCAAGGCGACGAUCCAUAGCUGGUCUGCGAGGAUGAUCAGCCACACUGGGACUGAGACACGGCCCAGACUCCUACGGGAAGCAGCAGUGGGGAAUAUUGGACAAGGGGCGAAAGCCGGAUCCAGCAAUGCCGCGUGAGUGAUGAAGGCCUUAGGGUUGUAAAGCUCUUUUGCCCGGGAUGAUAAUGACAGUACCGGGAGAAUAAGCGCCGGCUAACUCCGUG